rnacentral:misc_RNA from 1 species
CACCGCCACCCGGUACAACAGUUGAAUUCUUUAAAGCUCUUCUGACUAUCAUGAUAGCAUCAUGCAAACUCCUUUCAGCUUCCUCGAUGAACUGAUCAGCCCCACCACGUAGAACUAUAGUUGCAGUCUGACCAGAAGGACAACCGCUAAAUAUGUUGAACCGUUCAUUUCCCACCUGUUUUUCCUCAAAAAUUUCACAAGUUCCGAGAACCUCAUCAACAAUAUUGUUGACAGAAGUUUGCACAG